rnacentral:rRNA from 1 species
AGUGAACGCUGGCGGUAGGCCUAACACAUGCAAGUCGAACGGCAGCACAGUAAGAGCUUGCUCUUACGGGUGGCGAGUGGCGGACGGGUGAGGAAUACAUCGGAAUCUACUUUUUCGUGGGGGAUAACGUAGGGAAACUUACGCUAAUACCGCAUACGACCUACGGGUGAAAGCAGGGGAUCUUCGGACCUUGCGCGAGUGAAUGAGCCGAUGUCGGAUUAGCUAGUUGGCGGGGUAAAGGCCCACCAAGGCGACGAUCCGUAGCUGGUCUGAGAGGAUGAUCGGCCACACUGGAACUGAGACACGGUCCCGACACCGGCGGGAGGACGCAGUGGGAAAUAUUGGGCAAUGGGGGCAAGCCUGAUCCAGCCAUACCGGGUAGGUGAAGAAGGCGUUCGGGUUGUAAAGCCCUUUUGUUGGGAGGAAAAAGCAGCAGUUUAACACCCCGCUGUACUGACGGUACCCAGAGAAUAAGCACCGGCUAACUUCGUG